AUGAGAAGGAUCGGAGCAAAGGAGACGGGACAGGGGUUGUCUGGAGCGGGGAGCGGGAGAGGGCUGGCCCGGCUCACACACCUCCGUCCUGCUGCCCCCGAGACGACCUCCUGGGGUGCCCUGGACCCAGAGCCUGGGCGCGACUCCCCACACACAUACCCACGGUCCCGGGACCCAGAAGCACCCUCUGGAGCUGGGCUUGGGGACCGGGGGAGGGGGCCCCGGAGAGACUUUAUUGCCACUCCACCCCACAAAGACUGUCUUGGAGAUGGGAUGGGACACAGUCCCGGCAGUGGGGGCACAUCUCAGGCAGAGUCACCGGCCGGGGUGCCCGCGAUCCCCUCCAGCAGGUCGCAACCGGAAGUCGUGGCUUACACCGCAGCAGGACAGCUUCAGGCAGAGCCCUGGACGCCGCGGGACCUGGUUACCACCGCCCCCCUCUGCCUGUUUCUUGCCUGGCCUUGCAACCCUGAACCAAGUCCCACGGAGUCCCCUCAGAGCCAAGGCCAGUGGCUCCCCCCAGCCCGGCUACCACCACCCCCGGCCUCGCCUCCUGGACAAGCCUCUCCUGACCUCCGCGCCUGUCUGCGCUCCGCACCUCGGCCCUCGGCCCUGGGGCUGCUGACAGGUGGGCCGAGCGCACCGCAGCACGGGGAGGGGGUGCCAGGGGUGGACGAAGACGCUGCGCUCUGCGGCCCCCGCCUGUCCCCCCGCCCACCGCCAGCACCCUCACGGACACCUCCAGGGCCCCCCACUCCCCUGCCCCUGUCUCCCCGGGCCUGCUGGUGUCACCCGGGGCACCUGUGAGGUCAGAGGCCCGCCAGCAACGGGCUGUGGGGUGCCGGGGCAGGACAGCCGCUGACCGUGGUCAGUUUAGCCCAUGGCAGGGGCCAGGCCCACUCCAGUGAGGCCCGUACCGGGGAGGACAGACUCAGGAGGCCUGUCACCUCGCCUGAACAGUGUCAACCCCCGCAUCUGUCCCAACCUCCAGCGGCCAGGCUGGCACGGGGUGGGGUCUCCUCCCCGGAAGCCCCCCACCCGGCUGGCUGUCCCUUCCUGGAGCCCCGUGCCUGCCUCCCGGAAGCACA
rnacentral:lncRNA from 12 species